GACGAACGCUGGCGGCGUGCUUAACACAUGCAAGUCGAACGAUGAAGCCGGAGCUUGCUCUGGUGAAUUGGUGGCGAACGGGUGAGUAACACGUGAGUAACCUGCCCUUGACUCUGGGAUAACUGCGGGAAACUGUAGCUAAUACCGGAUACGACCCUCGGAGGCAUCUCCUGGGGGUGGAAAGAAUUUCGGUCAAGGAUGGACUCGCGGCCUAUCAGCUAGUUGGUGAGGUAAAGGCGCACCAAGGCGACGACGGGUAGCCGGCCUGAGAGGGUGACCGGGCACACUGGGACGGAGACAGGGCCCAGACGCCUACGGUGGGCAGCAGUGGGAUAUAUUGCACAAUGGGCGCAAGCCUGAUGCAGCAACGCCGCGUGAGGGAUGACGUCCUUCGGGUUGUAAACCUCUUUUAGCAGGGAAGGAGCGAAAGUGACGGUACCUGCAGAAAAAGCACCGGCUAACUACGUGCCAGCCGCCGCCGUAA
rnacentral:rRNA from 1 species